rnacentral:lncRNA from 1 species
GGCAACUACUGUAGUUAUAUCCACACAAAAAAUGCAGUAUAAUCAUAAAAUAUACAGUUUUUCUUUUAAAUAUUUUACCGUGCUGUGGAUACAAGUAUUACUAGCACUGGAUAACCUUGCAAUUCAAACAUUAUGAUUUGAAAAAUGCAUACUUCUGUAAGACUGUAUAGAUUGCAACCUCGUCCCCAGGGCCUAUUGAGGAAGGAGCUGCCCUUCGCAUCUUUCCUCAAAAGGCCCUGGGGACGAGAUUGUAUAGAUUGUAGCACAAAUACGGAAUGUCGCAGUAGUAUUAUUUCAUUGAAUUGUGGAACGAUACUAAAGAUUGUUUCAGAUAAUUUAUUUUUACGUAGGAGGGCUUCAAUAUGGUUAUUUUGAGUGCCCGCACAAAAUAUUAAAUAUCCCCCAAAUUUGAAAAUAUCGGUUGGUUUAGGAUUUCCCGCCAUUUUUAAAUGGUACAUUCCUACUGGUUCCAUUAGGUUAAAUAAAGGAUUUCUAUUGGCCCCCUAUACACCAUCGUCGUCGAGUUCAUCCGGGCUUUCAUCGCUCUUGGCUAAGCCCCCUCCUUGGUGUUCAGCGAGUGCUUGCUUAGCGACGUACGCUUCGCGUUUGAUAACAAUGUCAAGGUCCUUGGGUAUGUCAGGAACAAGAAGGUCGAUCAUUGCUGAUAUAAAGAACACGAAGUGCU